CCUACGGGAGGCAGCAGUGGGGAAUUUUGGACAAUGGGGGCAACCCUGAUCCAGCAAUGCCGCGUGAGUGAAGAAGGCCUUCGGGUUGUAAAGCUCUUUUGUCAGGGAAGAAACGGUGAAGGCUAAUAUCCUUUGCUAAUGACGGUACCUGAAGAAUAAGCACCGGCUAACUACGUGCCAGCAGCCGCGGUAAUACGUAGGGUGCAAGCGUUAAUCGGAAUUACUGGGCGUAAAGCGUGCGCAGGCGGUUAUGUAAGUCAGAUGUGAAAUCCCCGGGCUCAACCUGGGAACUGCAUUUGAGACUGCAUGGCUAGAGUGUGUCAGAGGGGGGUAGAAUUCCACGUGUAGCAGUGAAAUGCGUAGAUAUGUGGAGGAAUACCGAUGGCGAAGGCAGCCCCCUGGGAUAACACUGACGCUCAUGCACGAAAGCUGGGGAGCAAACAGGAUUAGAUACCCUGGUAGUCCACGCCCUAAACGAUGUCUACUAGUUGUCGGGACUUAAUUGUCUUGGUAACGCAGCUAACGCGUGAAGUAGACCGCCUGGGGAAGUACGGUGCGAAAGNUUAAAACUUCAAAGGAAUUGACCGGNNGAGAGNGCGAGGACGACGACGAGGGAGAGG
rnacentral:rRNA from 1 species